rnacentral:rRNA from 1 species
GACGAAGGGGGCUAGCGUUGUUCGGAAUUACUGGGCGUAAAGCGCGUGUAGGCGGUUGUCCAAGUCGGGUGUGAAAGCCUUGAGCUCAACUCAAGAAAUGCACUCGAUACUGGGCGACUAGAGUGCCGGAGAGGAUAGUGGAAUUUCCAGUGUAGUGGUGAAAUACGUAGAGAUUGGGAAGAACACCAGUGGCGAAGGCGGCUCACUGGCCCGAUACUGACGCUGAGGCACGAAAGCGUGGGGAGCAAACAGG